AUUGAACGCUGGCGGCAGGCCUAACACAUGCAAGUCGAGCGGAUGAAGGGAGCUUGCUCCUGGAUUCAGCGGCGGACGGGUGAGUAAUGCCUAGGAAUCUGCCUGGUAGUGGGGGAUAACGUCCGGAAACGGGCGCUAAUACCGCAUACGUCCUGAGGGAGAUAGUGGGGGAUCUUCGGACCUCACGCUAUCAGAUGAGCCUAGGUCGGAUUAGCUAGUUGGUGGGGUAAAGGCCUACCAAGGCGACGAUCCGUAACUGGUCUGAGAGGAUGAUCAGUCACACUGGAACUGAGACACGGUCCAGACUCCUACGGGAGGCAGCAGUGGGGAAUAUUGGACAAUGGGCGAAAGCCUGAUCCAGCCAUGCCGCGUGUGUGAAGAAGGUCUUCGGAUUGUAAAGCACGUUAAGUUGGGAGGAAGGGCAGUAAGUUAAUACCUUGCUGUUUUGACGUUACCAACAGAAUAAGCACCGGCUAACUUCGUG
rnacentral:rRNA from 1 species